CCCCUGGUUCAGGAGAGUGAAAUUUCAAUUACUUGUUGAUGACAUGGCGCAGUAUGAAGUACUUGAACAAAUUGGAAAAGGUGCUUUUGGUUCUGCACUUCUUGUCAAGCAUAAGCAUGAGAAGAAAAAAUAUGUUUUGAAGAAGAUUUGCCUUGUCCGUUGUAACGACCCAACUUCUAGCCCGUCAUGACCAAGUCUAGCAGCUAGGCGCUACUAUUCAGUUGACUUUAGGGACUCUAGACCAUAUAUUAAGUGUAUACAUAUGAGACUGUAACGCUAGUCGAGAAUCACGUAUCUAGUCGAGUAUAUCGGAAUAAUUGUAAGUUAAGCAGAUAAUACAAGGAACAGAUAAGCAUAACAAGCAUAAUCAUAGCAUACAUGAAAUGCCCAUAGUUUGGGACCCGAUCUACUUAUUAAAUAAAUACAAAAGAGCUAGCCCUCUAAAAGUCUAUCUAGAGCAAGGGUGCGGAUCCGGAGCUCUCGGGAACCCCUGGCCCAUCGAACCCUAGCUCGGCUGCAGGGGAUGGUGGUGGAGCGUCGGGCAUAGGUAUAUCAGGAACCACUUGAUCCUCUUGACCCUGACAUGCCCUAUGACACACUGCUAGAGGCUAACACAAAACCUUAAGGUAUCAAGUUAAUGGGUUUCCCAUCUUAUAAACUCCUCACUCUUCCUUGCUUUUUUUGAUGUAGGACUAACUUCAACACUCCUCGCGCUUGCAACAUUAACACAUAUGUAUAUACUUAAUAUAUGGUCUAGAGUCCCUAAAAUAAGCUGAAUAGUAACGCCUAGCUGCUAGCCUUGGUCAUGACAGGCUAGAAGUUGGGUCGUUACACCCGUCAAACUGAGCAUUCCCGCAGGUCUGCGAACCAGGAGGUUGGUUCCGAAUAGUGUUUCGACAAAUUAAAUUCCAGACAUCUUGUGUUGUUUUCUGUUAUCUUCAAUCUCCUAAUUGUUGUUGAUGGAGCUCAUUUCCAAACUAAGAAAUCCAUUUAUAGUAGAGUACAAAGAUUCAUGGGUAGAAAGGGUACGGUUCUUCUUUUUUUAUCCUCAUUUAAUUACAAUAAUGGCCUCUAUAAAGCUUGCUUUCAUAUCAUAAAAUUUUCCAAGAAGUUAAACUUAGUCUUAUCUGAUCCUAAGCACAAAUUCAUUUAUUUAUUGUUUUUAUUUGUUGUAGCAAUAAGAAAUUAGUGUAAGCUUUGAUAUCUUGGACUGCAUCUGAAUAUUCAGAGCAAUGUUGAGUAGCAGACUAUUAUAGGUUUUAGCCUUUAGUAGUCGUUGAAUGUAAUGCUAUUCAUUUUCUUGUCAAAAUUAGUGCUUUUUUUC